rnacentral:rRNA from 1 species
GACGAACGCUGUCGGCGUGCUUAACACAUGCAAGUCGAACGGAAAGGCCCUGCUUUUGUGGGGUGCUCGAGUGGCGAACGGGUGAGUAACACGUGAGUAACCUGCCCUUGACUUUGGGAUAACUUCAGGAAACUGGGGCUAAUACCGGAUAGGAGCUCCUGCUGCAUGGUGGGGGUUGGAAAGUUUCGGCGGUUGGGGAUGGACUCGCGGCUUAUCAGCUUGUUGGUGGGGUAGUGGCCUACCAAGGCUUUGACGGGUAGCCGGCCUGAGAGGGUGACCGGCCACAUUGGGACUGAGAUACGGCCCAGACUCCUACGGGAGGCAGCAGUGGGGAAUAUUGCACAAUGGGCGGAAGCCUGAUGCAGCAACGCCGCGUGCGGGAUGACGGCCUUCGGGUUGUAAACCGCUUUCGCCUGUGACGAAGCGUGAGUGACGGUAAUGGGUAAAGAAGCACCGGCUAACUACGUGCCAGCAGCCGCGGUGAUACGUAGGGUGCGAGCGUUGUCCGGAUUUAUUGGGCGUAAAGGGCUCGUAGGUGGUUGAUCGCGUCGGAAGUGUAAUCUUGGGGCUUAACCCUGAGCGUGCUUUCGAUACGGGUUGACUUGAGGAAGGUAGGGGAGAAUGGAAUUCCUGGUGGAGCGGUGGAAUGCGCAGAUAUCAGGAGGAACACCAGUGGCGAAGGCGGUUCUCUGGGCCUUUCCUGACGCUGAGGAGCGAAAGCGUGGGGAGCGAACAGGCUUAGAUACCCUGGUAGUCCACGCUGUAAACGGUGGGUACUAGGUGUGGGGUCCAUUCCACGGGUUCCGUGCCGUAGCUAACGCUUUAAGUACCCCGCCUGGGGAGUACGGCCGCAAGGCUAAAACUCAAAGGAAUUGACGGGGCCCCGCACAAGCGGCGGAGCAUGCGGAUUAAUUCGAUGCAACGCGUAGAACCUUACCCGGGUUUGACAUGGAUCGGGAGUGCUCAGAGAUGGGUGUGCCUCUUUUGGGGUCGGUUCACAGGUGGUGCAUGGCUGUCGUCAGCUCGUGUCGUGAGAUGUUGGGUUAAGUCCCGCAACGAGCGCAACCCUUGUUCACUGUUGCCAGCACGUUAUGGUGGGGACUCAGUGGAGACCGCCGGGGUCAACUCGGAGGAAGGUGGGGAUGACGUCAAGUCAUCAUGCCCCUUAUGUCCAGGGCUUCACGCAUGCUACAAUGGCUGGUACAGAGAGUGGCGAGCCUGUGAGGGUGAGCGAAUCUCGGAAAGCCGGUCUCAGUUCGGAUUGGGGUCUGCAACUCGACCUCAUGAAGUCGGAGUCGCUAGUAAUCGCAGAUCAGCAACGCUGUGGUGAAUACGUUCCCGGG